rnacentral:snoRNA from 1 species
UAUCCUGCAUGAGCAUAAAAUAAUACUUAGGAAAUUUAGAAAAAGCUGGCAAUAGUAAUGCCAUGUUAGGAGCCUUAAGGACGUGACAUCAAAAUCAUUGAGGCCCCUAAAAAAGGCUACACAU